CAGUAUUUUAACUGCGCAAAGGUAGCGUAAUCACUUGUCUUCUAAAUAAAGACUAGUAUGAAAGGCAUCACGAGAACUAAACUGUCUCCUAUUUUUAAUCAGUGAACCUAAUCUCCCCGUGAAGAAGCGGGGAUUAUUAUACAAGACGAGAAGACCCUAUGGAGCUUAAAACAUAAUAACAUCUGCUAAUACCUUAAUUAACAUAACACAUUGAUUAUAUGUUUUUGGUUGGGGUGACCGUGGAGAAUAGCAUAUCCCCCACGAUGAAAAAAAUCUUUUUAAACAACAAGCCACAACUUUAUGUAUCAAAAAAAUGACAUCCAUUGACCCAAUAUAUUGAUUAACGAACCAAGUUACCCUAGGGAUAACAGCGCAAUCCACUUUAAAAGCUCCUAUCGACAAGUGGGCUUACGACCUCGAUGUUGGAUCAGGGUACCCAAGUGGUGCAGCCGC
rnacentral:rRNA from 1 species